rnacentral:rRNA from 1 species
CCCUUAGAUGUUCUGGGCCGCACGCGCGCUACACUGAUGCAUUCAACGAGUUUCUUCCUGGUCCGAGAGGAAUGGGUAAUCUUUUGAAAGUGCAUCGUGAUAGGGAUAGACUAUUGCAAUUAUUGGUCUUCAACGAGGAAUUCCUAGUAGACGUAGUUCAUCAGACUGCAUCGAUUACGUCCCUGCCCUUUGUACACACCGCCCGUCGCUACUACCGAUUGAAUGGUUUAGUGAGAAUUUUGGACUGGAACUCCCUUGCUCAGCAAUGGGCGAGGGGGAGUCCGGGAAGCUAUUCUAACUGUAUCAUUGAGAGGAAGUAAAAGGCGUAACA